ACAAAGCAGACAACCUUCUGGAGCAGGAAGGCUCACUCUCCUGGUUCAGUGGGUGGAUUCUAAUCCACUCCCACUCUGCGAAUGACUGUGACAUGACAGGUUGUAACGACAUGCACCCUGGUGUAUACAUGUCCCCAAAAGGGGCUCCAGAGAGCCCAGGCCACCCUGCUUGGAGGGGUCCAGCCCAGUUCUGCUCUGUAGAUGGGCAGUUCCCCCCAGUCCAGGCUUUCUGUGUCCCUCAGAACCAGCCUGAAGGAUGUGAGGAGGCAGCUCAGUUUACAGAUGGCACUUGGUGACCUUUUCCUCCAGGACAAUCUUGCUGCCCUAAUGGCUUCCAACCUCUCUGCAUGGGGCUCAGUGGGGCUCAGUGGUUCCAGUCCCAUCUUGCUUGCUCAAGCCCCACCCAUUUCAGCUUCUGGAGUUCUUCUCUCUGUUGCAGCCCCCAAAGACCCAAUAUACCAAUUGUUUGUUUUCUUAAGACAUCCCCAGGCAUGGUGGCACACACACGCCUGUAAUCCCAGUGGCUCAGGAGGCUGAGGCAGAAGGGUCGUGAGUGCAAAGCCAGCCUCAGCAAAUUAGCAAGGCCCUAAGCAACUCAACCCUGUCUCAAAUUUUUUUAAAAAAAUAGAUAAACAAAUGAGUAAAUAAAAUAAAAAGGGAUGGGGUUGUGGCUAAGGGGUUAAUUGCCCCUGGGUUCAAUCCCCAGUCCAAAAAAAAAAAGCCUCAACAAGCCAAACCUCCAUCUCUUUUUCCUUUCCUUCCACUUUCUCCUCAUCCUACCCAAACCACAAAGCCUCAUGCUUUGCAAAGGGCUUGUGCUGGGAGCAAGGGAGAUGUCACACCAAGAAAAUCCCCCAAUGCCGGGAGCUGUUCUCCCUGUGGCUUCUCCAGUAGCAGGCAAGCUGCCUCCAGUGUUUACAGUCAGCAAUUCUGAAUGUGCUGACAUGGAUAACGGUGACCACAGAGUCAAUUCAAACCAGCAAGGACAAGCAGACAGCUGCGGAAAUGCUUCCCGAGGCCCCAGCGAGGACCCAGCGUGGCCAGUUGGGGCUGGAUGGCAGGAGCAGAGGCAGCCUCCCCUCCGCUCCCCUCCAACUCGGUCUCCACACUUCUAUUUCGGGGGCUGACGCACGCAGGGCUGUGGAGGAGGGAGCCGUUCCCGGGGAGACUAGGUUUCCC
rnacentral:lncRNA from 1 species